AAAACUUAUGAUGUAAAGAAAAAUCAGACCUAAGCAGAUUACUGUUAAUGCUCGCUAAAGAAGCACUUAUUAAAGAAGUGUUUGUGGGAGCUGUAUAUGUGGGUAAAAGGCCAUUUAGAAAAGGAACCAGGGCUCCUUGGAGAAAUGGCUGAUUCCAUAUUAAGGCAUUGUCUCCCAAGUUACCUGUUUCCUGCUGUGAUCUGGUGACUAAAGUGAAAUACCGUUGUAUGGUGUACUGAGCAAGACGCAGGUUUUCCAGCCCACGCACCGAGUCGUUCCCUCUCAGCCAGCUGAACUCCACAUCGUUCCCAUCGUAACCCCCUGCCAUCUCCCCUCCAGCCCUGCGGUUGCAGCCACCCAGUCACCUGAGAGCAUACAGGACUGUGCCAUUGGAGAAGAGGCGGAUGAGCCUGUUGCCCACAGUGACUUCAUGGAGGAAGGACUUCUUGGACUCCACAAUCUCCCUCAGCUCCAGUGCAUGCACUUUUGGACUUUAUGUGCUUAACAGACAGGAAGUAAAAGAAAUGGCAAGUGGUGAAAGUUUCUUUCUCAGCCAUGUCUCUGCAGUGGAGACAAAACCAUGCAGCGGGUCUGCCUAGAUGUGCCCGUGUCAGCUUCACCAGGAGUACCUAUUAAAGAUGCACAUUCCUGGGGUGCCUGGGUGGCUCAGUUGUUUGAGUGUCCAACUCUUGAUUUCGGUUCAGGUCAUGAUCCCAGGGUUGUGGGAUCAAGCCCUGUGUUGGGCUUGGCGCUGCAUAUGGAGCCUGCUUGGGAUUCUCUCUCUCUCCCUCUCCCUCUGUUCCUCCCCCAAUUUGUGCUCUCUAU